rnacentral:tRNA from 1 species
GUGCCCAUAGUUCAAUUGGAUAGAACGCUGGAUUGCGGUUCCAGUGGUUAGAGGUUCAAGUCCUCUUGGGCACG